UUGUGGGCUCUUCUCGGUUGUUACAAUGUCACCAGUGCUGGUUCCUACGGCAUGUGAGAACUGGUCUCUGAAUAUCGAUGAUGAGUCCACAAGGCGAUUUUGGUGGAACAACACAUACAGUAUUACGCUUUGGGAAGAGACGCUGAAUAUCGAAAAGCAAACGGAAACGAUCACAGACGGCGAUGUAUGGUCCAAGUUUAUUGACCUUCAGUUGCGAUGCGCUUUCAAAAUAUGCUCCAUUUGCCAUUCACCAGAAGGCAACGAUGACAUGAAAAUCUGUUGCUACUGCGGUAAUACUGUCCAUGAAAAUUGCUCGGAGCCUGCAGCGCCGGAGCAGAUCAUGUGGAAACCUGCGAAUCUUGCAUACGUAGAGCACAUGCGCGCCUGCUUUCAGUGCCAAGCAGUCGAUUACAAAGAGCCGUCCGCUCCUCAGUCGCCGAGCGAGUGCGACAAUGCUCGUCGUGCUGCGAAGAGAGCACUAACAAUAUCCGACGAAUAUCCACCGGCUACCGUUGAGCGGAUUCAAGAGCUCUUGCAGCAAGCGGAGACCACUUCUAAUGACGCAGUGCUUCUUGGCGAGCUGAAAUCUCUCGUGCAAAGUUAUUUUCAGUCUCCACAGUCGCUACGGUUCUUGCGCAAAGAGCGCGUUGCCUCAAAAGGUGGCGGAAUAGGUGUGGUAGCGGCCCAGAAAAUACCUGCUUUCUCCAUUAUCGGUGUUUACCCCGGAUACUUGGAUUUCAUGAGUGGCGAGCAAGCCAAGUGUGGUCGCCCUGUACCGAAAUAUGCUUUGAUGGAGUACAACUGCGCCAACUACUUUAAUGAGGUGUUUGUAGAACUGCAAACUACUUUCACGCCCUUUAUCAAUGAACCAAAUGUCGAUGAAAAAAGCAACUGCGCCUGGAUCCAGGAGCCACACCGCAAAAACGGGCGAUUGAGUGUCAUCUGCGUUCGGGAUAUUCAAGAGGGUGAGGAGCUUACGAUUGGAUACGGUCCCAUUUAUCCUCGCACGUAUCCGUAUUGCUACGAUGCGUAUGCCUGCCAUCAGAUUGAGGGCCAUGCCACGCAUCCGUGCUAUUCACUGUGGCACUGGCCUACCCUGCAGGAAGCAGACGCGCGAUUUGUGUGUUACAUUGGCUACAUUGAGAAAGAGGAUUGCUAUGUUCUUUGGAAAAACGAGACAUGAUGAUGUCCCCGUUUACUCCAAACAACACACACACACACACACACACACACACACACACACACAAAACUAUGUCC
rnacentral:misc_RNA from 1 species